rnacentral:lncRNA from 1 species
UUUCUUUAAAUUCCCAAGACUGAUUGUGCUGAACUCCCAUAAAUAUCACCAAUGUGCUGAUUAGAUAAAACAAUGGUUAUUUUCAUUCAUUGCAACGAGGGAAAAUUCCAGCUUUACUGAUCAUUGUGGCAUCUCCAAAGAGAGAAAUCAGAUGUAAGGUAGUUAUAAGACUUUGAAGCGUGAGUGAAGUGGUUUGAGGUUGGUUUGUUAAGGCAGAUAAAUGAUUGGGAUUGGGCAAAGUGCAUGAUAUGAUAGUUUAGCAUAAGUAGACACAGCUAAGUGGUAUCUUGAAACUAGUCUUGAUAAGUAAAAGUAACUUGGUAAAUGAGCUCUUUUAUCAGGUGAGCAGAAUGCUAUCUGCAAUACAUCAUUUUGUAAGAAUAUCCUGAAGCAAUAAGCAGUUAUUUAUUGAUGUAAAGUUUCAUCUUUCUCAGACAAAGCUUGCCUGAAACAAAUUAUCUUGGCACAAAGUGAUCAAUGUUCUACCCUGAGGCAUGUUGACACAGAUGGUCUCAGUUCUCAAGUGGAGACCAUGACAAGUCUCAACGAUAAUGGCCAGGGAAUCAAUUGCAGCAGGUCGCUUUACAAGGAUCCUUUGGGCUUUCAGUCAAAAGGGUUAUAAUUAAGCCAUUAAAAGAAAAAGUAAAAGAAAGAAAACACAAUGAUUGAACAGACUGUGGUUCAUUCUAAUCACAAUGAAAAGAAAGCACUGUUCACAAAAAUUAAGACUCAGAACAUUCAAGUCCAUUGGGAAUAAAUAAAAUACAGUAUCAUACAAAACCAUACCCAAACAACCAAACAUACCUUCGGAUUUAAGAAGAAAAUCAGUGAUUACAAAAUAGUUUAUAUUAAAAUAGUACUAAAACUGUUACAGAACGUAAACUGUUACACACUCAAAUUGGGAUAAUCUAAGAAGAGUUUUCUAAGGUAAUUAUUUUUAAAGUGAGGGCAAAAUGUAGGAAAACCAUAAGAUAUGGCAGCCCCUGGCUAGCACACCAGGAGUACUGUGACCCCUCCUGUCCUGAAAGUGCAAGGGAGGAGAAGUGACCAGAAACUGGACACAGAAGGGUCUUUUGGGAAAGAACUUCCAGACAAGAGCUGUGAUUUUUGAUUGAGAGCUACAGUCAGCUCAUUAUGACCCUACAGAAAAAGAUCCAGAGAAAUCUUCCUCAUCCUCACUUUCUGCCAUCCUUUCUAUCUGCUGUUGCUCCUCACUGGCUGAACUCACCUGCAGCUGGAAGGUAAGGAUGCCCCCUGAUUAACCACAUUGGGGCACAAAGCAGAAAAAAGAUGAGAGUGGAUCUGAGGGGACAAACAGAGAAUAUCCAUGACAGAGAAUACAAAUAAAAUAACUAAAAUGGAAACAUGAUGUAUCUAAAUUUAUGAAAUGCACAGAAGGCUGUACUCUCGGAAAAAUAUAUAACCCCAAACCAUUUCAACAUUUAAUAUGAAAGAAAAAAUAAUCUAUCAUUCAUCUCGAAAAUUUAGACAGAAGAAAAAUUCUCACAUGAGGAAAGCAUAAAGAAAUAAGGAGUCAUAAGUUGGAAAAAAUAAUAAAACAGUGAGUAUAUCACAAGACAGGUGAAUUAAAACAAUUCAAUCAACAAACAUCUGUUUGUCACCAAAGAAAUUAAAUGUUCUCACCAAAGAAAUUAAAUUGAGUACCAAAAACAAACAAACAAAAUUUGAAAUAGGCACUAUAACUCAAAACGGAUGUUAUAAUCUUUUAUAAAUCUUUUAUUAAAAAUUAGGAUGUAGAAAUCUAUAAUAUUUAAUGUAAAAUGCAAUUAAAUAAGAAAUUUAAGAUAAAGAGUUAAAUUUAAAAAUUAAAUUAAAAACGUUAAUUGAUAAUGUAAACAUGAAAAAUUAAAUUAUAUGCUAAUUGAGU